rnacentral:rRNA from 1 species
GCGUUAUCCGGAUUUAUUGGGUUUAAAGGGUGCGCAGGCGGAUCUUUAAGUCAGUGGUGAAAUCUUGCCGCUUAACGGUAAAAUUGCCAUUGAUACUGAAGAUCUUGAAUGUAGUUGGGGUAGGCGGAAUGUGUUGUGUAGCGGUGAAAUGCAUAGAUAUGACACAGAACGCCAAUUGCGAAGGCAGCUUACUAAGCUACGAUUGACGCUGAGGCACGAAAGCGUGGGGAGCGAACAGGAUUAGAUACCCUGGUAGUCCACGCCGUAAACGAUGAUCACUCGCUGUCUGCGAUACACUGUAGGCGGCUGAGCGAAAGCAUUAAGUGAUCCACCUGGGGAGUACGAUCGCAAGGUUGAAACUCAAAGGAAUUGACGGGGGCCCGCACAAGCGGAGGAACAUGUGGUUUAAUUCGAUGAUACGCGAGGAACCUUACCUGGGCUUAAAUGUAGACUGCAUAAGGUAGAAAUACUUUUUCCCUUCGGGGCUGUUUACAAGGUGCUGCAUGGUUGUCGUCAGCUCGUGCCGUGAGGUGUCGGGUUAAGUCCCAUAACGAGCGCAACCCCUAUCGUUAGUUGCUAGCAGGUAAUGCUGAGGACUCUAGCGAGACUGCCACCGUAAGGUGAGAGGAAAGUGGGGAUGACGUCAAAUCAACACGGGCCUUAUGUCCAGGGCUACACACGUGUUACAAUGGUCGGUACAA